ACAGAAAGCAUUUUGGGUGAACUGUUCUUUUAAGGCAAAAACUUCAUAUGUAUUUUCUCCCCAGAACGAUUUCUAAAGGAUCAUGUGACACCGGAGACUGGAGAAGUGACUGCUGAAGAUUCCAUAACAGAAAUAAAUGACAUUUUAAAGUGUUUAUAAAUGGCUCCUAUUGUGUGAUGACUAAUAGUCCAGGUAGUGGCAUCCAGCUGAGUUCUAACAGUUUGUCUGCACACUUCCCCAGGCCUAGGUCUGUGGGCUGCAGGGGGCCAGCGCUGACUGACAGAGGUCCUGCCGUGAAAGGCGGAGAGCUCCUCAUGGGCCUCAGCAUGCAGCCCCUUUCCCAGGCCCGCCUUGAGGCCUCCGGCCGCUCUGCAGGAGGGUCCCGCUCCGCUCUCAGACCUCAUCCACAGACCUGUG